rnacentral:rRNA from 1 species
UACGGAGGAUGCGAGCGUUAUCCGGAUUUAUUGGGUUUAAAGGGUGCGUAGGCGGAUCGUUAAGUCAGUGGUCAAAUUGAGGGGCUCAACCCCUUCCCGCCAUUGAAACUGGCGAUCUUGAGUGGAAGAGAAGUAUGCGGAAUGCGUGGUGUAGCGGUGAAAUGCAUAGAUAUCACGCAGAACCCCGAUUGCGAAGGCGGCAUGCCGGCUUCCUACUGACGCUGAAGCACGAAAGCGUGGGGAUCGAACAGG